rnacentral:lncRNA from 10 species
UUGGGCAUGUGGGGGGUGUGGUGUGUGUGUGUGUGUGUGGUGUGUGAGGUCUGUGUGUGGUGUCAAUGUGAGGUCUGUGUCUGGUGUGUGUGUGAGGUCUGUGUGUGUGAAUGUGGGGUCUGUGUGUGUGGGGUAUAUGUGUGUGAUGUGUGUGUGUAGUGUGUGAGGUCUGUGUAUGGUGUGUGUGAGGUCUGUGUGUGGUGUCAAUGUGAGGUCUGUGUCUGGUGUGUGUGUGAGGUCUGUGUGUGUGAAUGUGGGGUCUGUGUGUGUGUGGUAUAUGUGUGUGAUGUGUGUGUGUAGUGUGUGAGGUCUGUGUAUGGUGUGUGUGAGGUCUGUGUGUGUGUGGUGUGUGAGGUCUGUGUGUGGUGUCAAUGUGAGGUCUGUGUCUGGUGUGUGUGUGAGGUCUGUGUGUGUGAAUGUGGGGUCUGUGUGUGUGUGGUAUAUGUGUGUGAUGUGUGUGUGUAGUGUGUGAGGUCUGUGUAUGGUGUGUGUGAGGUCUGUGUGUGUGUGGUGUGUGAGGUCUGUGUGUGGUGUCAAUGUGAGGUCUCUGUGUGGUGUGUGAGGUCUGUAUGUGUGUGUGUGUGUGUGGUGUGUCUGAGGUCUGUGUGUGUGGUGUGUGAGGUCUGUGUGUGUGUGGUGUGUCUGAGGUCUGUGUGUGUGGUGUGUGAGGUCUGUAUGUGUGUGUGAGGGCUGUGUGUGAGGUCUGUGUGUGUGUGGUGUGAGAUCUGUGUGUGUGUGAGGUCUGUGUGUGUGUGGUCUGUGUGUGGUGUGUGUGUGAGGUCUGUAUGUGUGUGAGGUCUGUGUGUGGUGUGUGAGAUCUGUAUGUGUGAGGUCUGUGUCUGUGUGUCGUGUGUGAGGUCUGUGUGUGGUGUGAGAGCUGUGUGUGUGUGAGGUCUGUGUGUGGUGUGUGAGGUUUGUAUGUGUGUGGUGUGUGUGAGGUCUGUGUGUGGUGUGUGAAGUUUGUGUGUGUGUGUGGUAUGUGUGAGGUCUGUGUGUGGUGUGUGAGGUUUGUGUGUGUGUGUGGUGUGAGAUCUGUGUAUGUGUGAGGUCUGUGUGUGCUGUGUGAGGUUUGUGUGUGUGUGGUGUGUGAGGUCUGUGUGUGUGUGGUGUGUGCAGUGUGAGUGCGUGUAUGUGUGUGGUGACAUCUGUGUGUGUGUGGUGUGUGAGGUCCGUGUGUGUGUGGUGUGUGUGAGGUCUGUGUGUGGUAUGUGAGGUUUGUGUGUGGUGUGAGAUCUGUGUGUAUGAGGUCUGUGUGGUGUGUGAGGUUUGUGUGUGAGGUCUGCGUGUGUGCUGUGUGCAGUGUGAGUGCGUGUAUGUCUGUGUGGUGGCGUCUGUGUGUGUGUGGUGUGUGAGGUCCGUGUGUGUGUGGUGUGAGGUCUGUGUGUGUGGCGUGUGUGAGUGGGUGUAUGUGUGUGUCUGUGUGGGUGUUGUAUGUGUGUGUCGUGUGUGUUUGGGGGCUGAGGUCCCAUGUAGACAGAAGUCAGUGCCAAAGCCACAAACUCCUCCCGACCCCCCGCCUGCCAUUUGAACACUUGUCCCGACAUGCCCUGUCCUGGGGCGCCAGGACCCACUCACUCAUUUACUCCUUGCUGGGGCUGCCUUGGCUCCCCGAGAGGUGGGCGGGAGGCGAGCAUGAGGAGAGAGGGGCGGCUGGGUC